GACGGUGGACAGUAAAUGACCUCCCGCGUGUUUGUGCCGUGCGCGGGGACCCGUACCGGGGGAUGAAAGAGUCCUGGAGGUUGAGUGGCGUAGUGCGCCGGUUACAGUUGCGCGCUGCACACAACACACCUCUUUGGUCCGGAUUUCCCCUCACACGGGAGGCCGUGGAUUAGCUGCCCAUGGUCAACCGGCUGUGGUAUCUUGCUUGCUUGCUAAACAAGGGAUGUCCCCGACUUGAGGGCUCCGUGGCGGGUGGAGAGCUCCGACGGUGAAUUAUUUCCAGUUUACCUCAUGGAUAAAGAGACUAUAAACAAAAACAUAAAACAACAUAAGGCUGCGUCUACGCAUGCGCCAUUAACAAACAAACCCAGGGCUGCGUCUCAGGACAUGCUGCGGUGCAAGUCACCAGUGGCACGAUACACUGAUGCCCCUGUCUCUUACACGGAUGCGAUUAUUCAGGCAGCGUUUAAGACUCAAAACGAGAGGGAAACGACUAGCGAUGCGCCAAACCGGCGACCACCGACGCCGACAAGGUCUAAUACCGUGCUUAAGCCCGGUGGCUCUACGCUCAGCACUAGACCUAGUGUCAGUACCCAACCCAAAAAACUAACAACUAACCAGCAAACAAAGGGCCAGAAACGUGAACGGCCGGAGGACUCCGUAACACCAACCGGGGAAAGUAAAAGGGCUAAACUUAACAGACCUCGACCGGUGAGAGGAACCUUGGCCAGUUAUGUGGAAGUAGCAGCAUCAUAUAAAGCUAACGACCUUUGUGUUGCUGUUAUGACUGAGCCCUUCAUAGAUAUGACUCAAGAACAGGCGGAAAACAUCCGCCAACAGAUCCAGGGCAAGCUUCACAAUGAGCUCAUGGCGGAUCUUGACGCUUCCCUGACUGCAGAACCUAAUGACAUCAGGUUUCGGCAUAAUGCUCACUUUUCGGAUGGUGUUCUCAAAAUCUGGGGUGAGGAUUCUUUCACGUUGAGCUGGUUGACUAGAACAUGUGAUGUCAUUACCUCUCCUAUACCUGACACCAACUUGGUAGUUCGGCCUCAAUCGGCAAUUCCGAAAAAGGUUCCUUGCCUACUCCAUGUACCAGAAUUUACUGGUAACACGGAUACUUUAAGGAAGCUAAUAACGAGGCAUAACCGUCACCUUAACAUUAGAUCAUGGAUCCUGACGCACGAACGAAGAACACAGGACCGGACAGGAGUCUCACUCUUCUUUCGUGUGCCGGAGUCUGAGAUCUCAAAGAUCAAGGCCCAAGAUAUGCGCAUAUACUACCUGAUGGGGAAUAUCUAUAUCCGACUUCUCGAUAGAGAGAAGUCAUCAUAGGCCCCCUGUCACACCACCUCUAACCACCGCCAAUACAUCGGUGGCCAAUGCCUCCCACGUCUUUGACAAGGGAUGCUGUGGCCAGCCGAGUCGCUGAUACCCACGCCCCGAUUGAGGCGGUUCAACAACCACCUUCACAGGUGACAAAUAACUUCGGAUGAGGACUUCCUUCAGGAGACCGGGGGAAAAAAUUCAGUGACAGCUGUCUGCGCUCUUCCCCCUCUCUGGACUGACCUUAUCCAAGCCAACCUCCAGCACAGCGAAACAGCGUCGGCUUCCUUGCGCAGACUGCUGGAACACCCCAACAUUAUCGCCGCGAUCCAGGAGCCGUGGAUCGGGAAUGGUAUGGUAUAACAAUGGCGGUAAACUUCUACUGGACACCUCCGUAAGUAACCCAAGAAACUGCAUACUACAACCUAAACAUGUACGGACACUACUAAUAAACUAACUAUAUUCAAGGGACCUUACGGUUGUUAGGUUACCCAGGAACACGCAUCUACCUGGCUUCCGCCUACUUAACGGGCGACGAGGCCAUGUCCACUUCGGAACUCAGCCCUCUGGUUGACUUCUACGAGAUGGAUUAACCGACAGCACAUCAUACGCUAUGGGGCAAUGCCAAUACCAACUCUCGAGGUUAUCGCAUUCG